rnacentral:rRNA from 1 species
AGAGCGUAGGGUGGAUGCCUUGGUACCAAGAGCCGAAGAAAGACGUGGUAAGCUGCGAAAAGCCAUGGGGAGCUGCAAACAAGCAUUGAUCCAUGGAUAUCUGAAUGGGGAAACCCGGCGGUCGUUGAGGGCCGUCAUCGUAACAUGAAUACAUAGUGUUACGAAGGGAACCCGGUGAACUGAAACAUCUAAGUAGCCGGAGGAAGAGAAAGAAACAUCGAUUCCCAAAGUAGCGGCGAGCGAAAUGGGAAGAGCCUAAACCGAAUCUCUACGGAGAGUCGGGGUUACGGACCUGCGGAAUCGAGAUUACUCAUAGUCGAAUAGCAUUGGAAAGUGCAGCCGGAGAGGGUAAAAGCCCCGUAGGCGAAAUGAGGAAUUGAGAGGCGGGUAUCCAGAGUACCACAGGACACGAGGAAUCCGGUGGGAAGUCGGGGGGACCACCCCCCAAGGCUAAAUACUACUUGGUGACCGAUAGCGUAUAGUACCGUGAGGGAAAGGUGAAAAGAACCCCGGGAGGGGAGUGAAAGAGAACCUGAAACCCUAUGUUUACAAGCAGUGGGAGCGCAAGCGACCAUGUACUUUUUGUAGAACGGGCCGGCGAGUUACUGUGUGUAGCGAGGUUAAGGUGUAGAGCACCGGAGCCGUAGCGAGAGCGAGUCUCAAAUGGGCGAAUAGUUGCAUACAGUAGACCCGAAACCGGGUGACCUAUCCAUGGACAGGAUGAAGCGGUGGUAAAGCACCGUGGAGGUCCGAACCACACGUAUGUUGAAAAAUGCGGGGAUGAGCUGUGGAUAGCGGAGAAAUUCCAAUCGAACUCGGAGAUAGCUGGUUCUCCCCGAAAUAGCUUUAGGGCUAGCCUCGAUUUAGAUUAUUGGGGGUAGAGCACUGAAUGGGCUAGGGGGCCACAAAGCUUACUGAACCCUAUCAAACUGCGAAUACCAAUUAAUUGAUGAUCGGGAGUCAGACAGUGAGAGAUAAGUUCCAUUGUCGAAAGGGAAACAGCCCAGAUCCACGACUAAGGUCCCAAAAUACACGUUAAGUGGAAAAGGAUGUGCAGUUGCACAGACAACCAGGAUGUUGGCUUAGAAGCAGCCACUCAUUCAAAGAGUGCGUAAUAGCUCACUGGUCGAGUGAAUGUGCGCCGAAAAUAUACCGGGGCUAAACGUGAUACCGAAGUCUGGGGAUCAAGAAAUUGAUCGGUAGGGGAGCAACGCAUACGGACAGAAGCAGAAGCGGGAGCGACUGUGGACUGUAUGGGAGAGAGAAUGCCGGCAUGAGUAGCGAGAGCAAAGUGAGAAUCUUUGCCGUCGAAAGCCUAAGGUUUCCUGAGGAAGGCUCGUCCUCUCAGGGUAAGUCGGGACCUAAGCCGAGGACAAGAGUCGUAGGCGAUGGACAACAGGUUGAUAUUCCUGUACCGUACUUAAGCGUUUGACUGAAGCAGUGACACAGAAGGAUAGACAGACCGGGGGAAUGGUAGACUCCGGCCAAGCAGUGAGGCUGACAUGUAGUGAAGUACGCAUGUUAAGGCUGGGCUGUGAUGGGGACUGAAGAUUAGUAAGGAAGCUGUUGAAUUCACACUGGCGAGAAAAGCUGCUAAGGAGCGAGAGUAUGCCCGUACCGCAAACCGACACAGGUAGGCGAGGAGAGAAUCCUAAGACGAGCGGGAGAACCCUUGUUAAGGAACUCGGCAAAAUGACUCCGUAACUUAGGGAGAAGGAGUGCCUCGAGAGAGGCCGCAGAGAAUAGGCCCAAGCGACUGUUUACCAAAAACACAGGUCUGUGCGAAGUAGAGAUACGACGUAUACGGGCUGACGCCUGCCCAGUGCCGGAAGGUUAAGGGGAAGUGUUAGGGCAACCGAAGCACGGAACUUAAGCCCCGGUGAACGGCGGCCGUAACUAUAACGGUCCUAAGGUAGCGAAAUUCCUUGUCGGGUAAGUUCCGACCCGCACGAAUGGCGUAACGACUUGGGCACUGUCUCAACAAGGGACCCGGCGAAAUUGUAGUAUGUGUGAAGAUGCACAUUACCCGCGAUAGGACGGAAAGACCCCGUAGAGCUUUACUGUAGUUUAACAUUGGAUUUUGAUAACACAUGUACAGGAUAGGUGGGAGGCUGAGAAACCGGGACGCCAGUACCGAUGGAGCCGCUGUUGGGAUACCACUCUUGUGUUAUUGGAGUUCUAACGAAGUGCCGUAAACCGGGCUUCGGACAGUGUUAGAUGGGCAGUUUGACUGGGGCGGUCGCCUCCGAAAGAGUAACGGAGGCGUCCAAAGGUUCCCUCAGAAUGGUUGGAAACCAUUCACAGAGUGCAA